UAUAAGCAAUUAUUAUGUAUGUAUUUACGUACGACAAAUAAAAAUAAACACACGCUAUAAUAAAUGCAUUAUGGUGCGUUCCAGGCAAAACGGAUUUACUCACCACAUUUAAACGCCUCGUCAUGCGCCUCUAGAUCCAAUUUGCCAUAUUUUCCGUAGCUCAUCACCAAACCGCUGAAUUUUGACUUGUUCUCGUUGUUCGAUGAAGCUCAUUAAAGGUUUUGCGAGUGUGCGUAGCUCAAACGCUUGAACUGUUCGAGCAAAGUCUUGAGCUCGAGUCUCGACCAAAUAUAAUAUGCUUGCGAGAGUAUUUUCCACGCCCUGGUUGUAGCUUUGAUAUACACACUCUUUUUUGUAUGUCCUUGAGCCCUUCGACAUACCAAAAGGUGCAUAUCCGAGCUCGACUCGAUUUUUAGCUCCUAAGCUGUCGAGCUUUUUAAUCAUGAUUCCUUUAUUAGAUGUACGACAUUGUGGUAAAACGCACUACGACAGAGCAAUCGAAGCAAAUAGCGAGGAAGACAUUGGCAUUUGAUCAAACUCGGUGUGAUUUUCACUCUUCACACUUAGGAUCUGUCAUUCCGCUUUAGUGUUUUUGGCCCACGAAUCCAUACGAUCAGCUUACAAUCCAAGCUAUCAAAUAAUAAUUCUCAACUUUCUCUUAGCUGAGAGACCCGUAGUGUUCCUGAAAAGUUGCCCGGAUGACUAAGAAUAUCAAUUAAUGCGUUGAGAAGUGGUUCUCGAACUAAGGAAUUAGUAUUAAUAUUAUUUUGAGAACACAUUUUCCGCUACAAAGUCCUGAAUCUAGUAUCUGCGGCUUUAAUAUUGUCUCUCAACCUGGGAAAUCACACAUUUCCGUGGGAAUUAUAAACAUUGUUGGUUAGCAAAACUUGCUGCCGUCUCUAGAGUGAGACAUUAAUGCUUAACGAUUUCCUCAUGUCACUGCAGUUAUCGGGAAACCUAAACCAAUUGGACUAAUCUUCUUGGGAACCUAGAGUUGUGUCUCUGAUAGCCAAAUCAACAUUUUUGUAUUACUUCCUCACCCAGGAAUCGGAAUUGACGGGCACACAAACAAGAGUUGGUGGCAGAUCCUCUCCAUCACCUCUCAGCGUUAGACUUACAUCAACCUGGCUACCUGUGGUGGAUUUGCAUUGCACUGGCCCCGAAAUUCUAGAAAUCUUCAUAUCUAUAAAGUUCCACAUGCAAAUAAUUAUUGUAAAAUUAAAAAAAAAAAAAUAUCUGACACGCUGGUAAGCUCUCAAACGUGCGUUCAUUUCGCAUGGAAUGCCCCUUCCAUUCCAUCUGCUCAUAUUCAAUUUUAAAGACUACAUGCAAUUUGUGGAACCGUUAUUUCUUCGCUCUCAGUACGAAUGCAUAUGUAAUUAUGUAUGUGCAUGUGUACGUGUAUGUGUAUAGUCGCUUGUGGGUGUCGUGACACAUUAUAUAUUGUGGAGGCUGCAAGCACGAACACCUUCAACACCACACGCUUACAUACAUACAUACAUAAGAGCGCAUACUAGUACGUCGCUUUAUCACAGCGCUAAAAUUGUCAAACGUACACUUAUGUACAUACAUAUGUAUGUUUGUCUGUAUGAUCAGCAACAAUUGCCACGGCGAGUCAUUGUAGUCACAACAGUAAGUGAAUUAGACGCUGAAGCAACCACACGCUCUUACGUAGAUUGGCCAGCGCUGAGGUGACGCGUGUGAGUGCCGAAUCUCUCUGUUCGGGGUGUCAUAAAUCACACAGCCGCACACACUAACAAAUGAAGUGGCAGUCACAGACAGAUAGCGGCAUGAAACGAGUUGGAAAAGAGCAGCACAAAUUUAGGACAGAUAAAUCGAAGAGAUAAAAUGAAAUAUUAUUUUAGUGAGUUUGUUGUUG